rnacentral:rRNA from 1 species
UACGAAGGGGGCUAGCGUUGUUCGGAAUUACUGGGCGUAAAGCGCGUGUAGGCGGGUCUUUAAGUCAGGGGUGAAAUGCCAAGGCUCAACCUUGGAACUGCCUUUGAUACUGGAGAUCUUGAGUCCGGGAGAGGUGAGUGGAACUGCGAGUGUAGAGGUGAAAUUCGUAGAUAUUCGCAAGAACACCAGUGGCGAAGGCGGCUCACUGGCCCGGAACUGACGCUGAGACGCGAAAGCGUGGGGAGCAGACAGG